GAGAAAGGCAGCAUUUGGACCCGUUGUCAUCGUGGGUCUGAGUUGCCUGCGCCCUGGUGCUUGUUCUUUGAAUUUCGUAAAAGCAACGAUUUCUUUAAAAUCAGCCUGGACUUCCCGUCUGCAAAAUGGAAAGAACUUCGGGUUUGGCGCCUGGGGCUUGGGCUGGAGACGGUUUCAUCAGUCACUCCCCAGGGUGACUGGCAGGGUCACCAAGACUGUGGUCAGUGGUUCCAGCAGCCCGAGGGAAGUGAAUACAAGAGCAGACAGACAUCCAUCAACUCAUUGCACAAGCAAAUGUGGAAUUGCUAGUGUGACAAGGGAGGUGCCGGUGUCAGGGACUCGGAGUCCCAGAAGGAGUUAACUAAUGGGGCAGGAAAGCAUUUCAGGCUGAGGGAGCAGCAUGGGCAAAGGUCCUGGGGUGGGAGUGCUCUCUGUAAAAUCUGGAGGGAGACACCCUCCAGUUGCUUCAGGCCAUGCUGGUCUCUGAUGUAUUGUCUUGGCCACAGAGGGCUUUAGAAAGCCGCCAAACCAGACAGGUGUCCUUGCUCGUGGCAGUAGCAGCAAAUUCGGCACCUAUGGUUUCAACCCCACCCGUUCCUGUUUCAAAUGUUUGUGUUACCAGACUGGCCCCUGAAGGGAAGCUGUUUGCCAGGCACUGACCUGCCUGGAGCCUCCGCCAGCAUCCUCUGACCUGGUGGAGCUCGAGUCUGGUUGCCCAGGCCGGAAGUGUUGGGUGUUUGCUGUUCCCAGCCACCAAGGGGGAGAGUUUCACUGCCCUUCAUCGCUCUGUGAGAGCUUGGCAAGAACUGGCUGAAGGGGUGGCGGCGAGCAGGGCCCCAGACCUGCUAUUUUGGGGAGAAGAACUUGCCCUGCAGCAGCUGGGGAGGUGGGCGUUCUGUGACCCUGGCUGUGGGGGACGGGUCCCUGGGAAGGACACUGGUGGGGUUAGAGGGGUUUUGGCUCCUCCAGGAGGCCAGCUGCAUGGCCUGGGACCUGCCACCUCUGUGCCUUUUUUUCCAUCAAUAAAUUCAGACAGAUGACUUUCAUCUGCUCCACCUCUGUAAACAGGGUUCAUAAUGGUACCUGCUUGGGAAAGUAGCUGUGGGAAUCGAAUGAGAUGGUUUACUCUCUCGUUCAACAAAUUCUUUUUAUUAUUAUUAUUUUUAUUUUAUUUUAUUUUUACUUUUCGGAGUUUGGAUUUUUACCUUAAAAAUUUUUUUUAUAGAAGACCUACUUUUACUUAUUUAUUGGUAGAUUAAUUUUUUGAGAUAACAUUGGUUUAUAACAUUGUAUGUUUCAUGUGUAUGACAUUAUCUUUCUACUUUCUAUACGUUACAGUGUGCUGACACCAGCAAUUCAGUUUCUGUAGGUCACUGUACAGCUGAUUCCCUUUACCCAUUUCGCGCCCCACUCCCCACCUCUUCUCCUCUGGUAGCCACUAUUUUGUUCUUUGUGUCUACGAGUCUGUUUUUCAGCAGAUAUUUUUUGAGCAGCUACUCGGUGCUAGACACUGUUCCAAAGGCAGGAGGCACUAUGGUGAACAAAAGAAGGCAGAAACACAUACUCUGCUGAAACUGAGAUUCCAGAUCAGGGAUUUGCAAACUACCGCCCAAGGGUCAGAUCUGGUCAGGCGUCUGUUUUUGCAUAGACAAAGAAUGGGUUUUGCAUAUAGAUAUAUAGAUAUUGAUGGAGGUACUGGGGAUGGAACCCAGGACUUCAUGCAUGCUAAGUACAUGCUCUACCACUGAGCUGUACCCCGCUGGUUUUUUGCAUUUUUAAAAGGUUGAAAAUAAUCAAGGAAGAAUCACACUUCAUGACAUGUGAAAACUAUAUGGAACUCAAAUUUCGGUG